AACGAACGCUGGCGGCAUGCCUAACACAUGCAAGUCGAACGAAGGCUUCGGCCUUAGUGGCGCACGGGUGCGUAACGCGUGGGAAUCUGCCCUUUGGUUCGGAAUAACAGCUGGAAACGGCUGCUAAUACCGGAUGAUGACGAAAGUCCAAAGAUUUAUCGCCAGAGGAUGGGCCCGCGUUGGAUUAGGUAGUUGGUGGGGUAAAGGCCUACCAAGCCGACGAUCCAUAGCUGGUCUGAGAGGAUGAUCAGCCACACUGGGACUGAGAAACGGCCCAGACUACUACGGGAGGGAGCAGUGGGGAAUAUAGGAAAAUGGGGGCAAGCCUGAUCCAGCAAUGCCGGGUGAGUGAUGAAGGGAGUAGGGUUGUAAAGCUCUUUUACCCGGGAAGAUAAUGACUGUACCGGGAGAAUAAGCCCCGGCUAACUACGUG
rnacentral:rRNA from 1 species